rnacentral:rRNA from 1 species
UGGGGAAUAUUGCACAAUGGGGGAAACCCUGAUGCAGCGACGCCGCGUGAGCGAAGAAGGUUUUCGAAUCGUAAAGCUCUGUCCUAUGAGAAGAUAAUGACGGUAUCAUAGGAGGAAGCCCCGGCUAAAUACGUGCCAGCAGCCGCGGUAAUACGUAUGGGGCGAGCGUUAUCCGGAUUUACUGGGCGUAAAGGGUGCGUAGGUGGUCUUUCAAGUCGGUGGUUAAAGGCUACGGCUCAACCGUAGUUAGCCUCCGAAACUGGAAGACUUGAGUGCAGGAGAGGAAAGUGGAAUUCCCAGUGUAGCGGUGAAAUGCGUAGAUAUUGGGAGGAACACCAGUAGCGAAGGCGGCUUUCUGGACUGCAACUGACACUGAGGCACGAAAGCGUGGGUAGCAAACAGG